GGGGGCGAUCUGGUUUCGACAAGGAUAAUGAUAUAGAAAAAAGCAUAUCGAGAUCUGGUUAACUCGUACCAAUAUUCCAGAAAAUUUAAAUGCAAAUGAAUCAAAAUACGCUCCAGUACGUUUGGCAGCAUAAAUUUAUUAGUCACAUAUAAAGGACUAGCUCCAUCUUUUUGUUCAUUAGAUUGAUUAAUGGAGUAAAAGAAAUAAUGAAAUCGCAAUAGUUAAAGUUACUAAACUAUUGUUAAAAAUAGUAACUCGUCUUUUUUGAAGUUUGUGCAAGCACAUGACUAUACUUGACUGUACCUAAUCGUAUCUGACUGUUCCGUACCGUAUCGUACUGUAGCUCACCGUACCGUAUCGUACUUGACCGUACCUGACUA
rnacentral:tmRNA from 1 species